GCCUGGGUAGCUCAGUCGGUUGAGUGUCCGACUUUGGCUCGGGUCAUGAUCUCACGGGUGGUGGGUUCGAGCCCCGUGUUGGGCU
rnacentral:tRNA from 1 species